AACGUAGGACACAAGCGUUAUCCGGAUUGACUGGGCGUAAAGCGCACGCAGGCGGUUGCGCGCGUGGGGUGUGAAAUCUGGCCGCUUAACGGCCAGGCGCCAUCCCAUACGGCGCGACUGGAGUGAUGCAGAGGUCGAUGGAAUUGCCGGUGUAGUGGUGAAAUGCGUAGAGAUCGGCAGGAACACCCAGGGGGAAACCAGUCGACUGGGCCGAUACUGACGCUGAGGAGCGAAAGCGUGGGGAGCGAACAGG
rnacentral:rRNA from 1 species